AAGUCGUAACAAGGUAACCGUAGGUGAACCUGCGGUUGGAUCAUUACUAAAUGAUGGUGGUAUUGGUCUUGGGUUUUCGUAAUCCGAGAUUGAUCCACUAAAUACCUCUGUGCACUGUUAAUAGUAUUUGGGUCUGGUUUACCAACCCGCACUUAUAAAAACCCCUUUAUUUUUGACUGACUUUUGUUUCUAUGAAUCAAAAACAACUUUUAACAACGGAUCUCUUGGCUCUC
rnacentral:misc_RNA from 1 species